rnacentral:rRNA from 1 species
UGAACCUUUACUAUAGCUUGACACUGAACACUGGUCCUUGAUGUGUAGGAUAGGUGGGAGGCUUUGAAGCGUGGACGCCAGUCUGCGUGGAGCCGCCCUUGAAAUACCACCCUUUAAUGGCUGGUGUUCUAACGUAGACCCGUAAUCCGGGUUGCGGACAGUGUCUGGUGGGUAGUUUGACUGGGGCGGUCUCCUCCCAAAGAGUAACGGAGGAGCACGAAGGUUGGCUAAUCCUGGUC